rnacentral:lncRNA from 1 species
UUAUCAUGCAUCCAAUUCACAAAACGUUCCGAGGCAUUCCAGCUUCCAGACUUUGGCUUUGUAAAGUCAAUAUCUAUCAAAGUUAGUCAUCAAGCUAAUGGUGUGGCACUGUUCUUUGAAAGAGAUGAGAAAUUUGCUAUUGAGGUGAAUCUACAGGAUUCUCUGGUAGAGGUUACAAACCAUGUGACAAAGGAGAGAUCCAAUAUGACCAGGGAUUCAAGUACUGCACCCUGGAAUGUUAUAAGUGUCAUUGACCAGGUGGGGAAUCUCCAUAUUAGCCUGGAUGGUCAAAAUAGUGUGGAUAUGGGCUAUAAAAAAAACACUGGCUGGUUUAAAGCGAAUGACAACGAUUUUUCCAUGAGCAUCACUGUUGGAGGAUUGUCUGAAGACUACCAAAAAUCCAGUGAGAAAUCAAAAACAUUAUAUGGGAGUAUAUCAACUGUGCUUAUUGA